AAUAGAUACCCUGGUAGUCCACGCCGUAACGAUGAGUGCUAAGUGUUAGAGGGUUUCCGCCCUUUAGUGCUGCAGCUAACGCAUUAAGCACUCCGCCUGGGGAGUACGGCCGCAAGGCUGAAACUCAAAGGAAUUGACGGGGGCCCGCACAAGCGGUGGAGCAUGUGGUUUAAUUCGAAGCAACGCGAAGAACCUUACCAGGUCUUGACAUCCUCUGACCUCCCUGGAGACAGGGCCUUCCCCUUCGGGGGACAGAGUGACAGGUGGUGCAUGGUUGUCGUCAGCUCGUGUCGUGAGAUAUUGGGUUAAGUCCCGCAACGAGCGCAACCCUUGACCUUAGUUGCCAGCAUUCAGUUGGGCACUCUAAGGUGACUGCCGGUGACAAACCGGAGGAAGGUGGGGAUGACGUCAAAUCAUCAUGCCCCUUAUGAUCUGGGCUACACACGUGCUACAAUGGAUGGUACAAAGGGCUGCGAGACCGCGAGGUUAAGCCAAUCCCAGAAAACCAUUCCCAGUUCGGAUUGCAGGCUG
rnacentral:rRNA from 1 species